rnacentral:rRNA from 2 species
UAGGGAAUCUUCGGCAAUGGGCGAAAGUCUGACCGAGCAACGCCGCGUGAGUGAAGAAGGUUUUCGGAUCGUAAAACUCUGUUGUUAGAGAAGAACAAGGACGUUAGUAACUGAACGUCCCCUGACGGUAUCUAACCAGAAAGCCACGGCUAACUACGUGCCAGCAGCCGCGGUAAUACGUAGGUGGCAAGCGUUGUCCGGAUUUAUUGGGCGUAAAGCGAGCGCAGGCGGUUUCUUAAGUCUGAUGUGAAAGCCCCCGGCUCAACCGGGGAGGGUCAUUGGAAACUGGGAGACUUGAGUGCAGAAGAGGAGAGUGGAAUUCCAUGUGUAGCGGUGAAAUGCGUAGAUAUAUGGAGGAACACCAGUGGCGAAGGCGGCUCUCUGGUCUGUAACUGACGCUGAGGCUCGAAAGCGUGGGGAGCAAACAGG